GCCAACGGGGCGCAGCAGUGAGGAAUAUUGGUCAAUGGGCGCGAGCCUGAACCAGCCAAGUCGCGUGAGGGAAGACGGUCCUAUGGAUUGUAAACCUCUUUUGUCGGGGAGCAAAAGACGCCACGCGUGGCGUUCCGAGAGUACCUGAAGAAAAAGCAUCGGCUAACUCCGUGCCAGCAGCCGCGGUAAUACGGAGGAUGCGAGCGUUAUCCGGAUUUAUUGGGUUUAAAGGGUGCGUAGGCGGGACCUUAAGUCAGCGGUAAAAUUGCGGUGCUCAACGCCGUAGAGCCGUUGAAACUGGGGUU
rnacentral:rRNA from 1 species